rnacentral:rRNA from 1 species
AUGGGGGUGUUCGCCGUGGUUUGCGUGCUGACCGCCCAGGUGCUGUAUGCUGCACUGUUCAAGGUGCUUCUGCUUGGCAUGGUGUUCUUUUACCUCAGGCACCCAAGGUUCUCUAGGAUUGAGCCGAAUCGAUCUACUCACGCCAACCCUUUUCUUUCUCGCUUGAGAGCUUCAUCUUCUUGGCUAGCCUUUUCAGCUAGCUACCUUUUUCGAGAGAGAGAGAGAGAGUGCAGAAAUGCAAGCAAGAGAGAAUAA